AAUAAAUGCAUUGCCCAAGUCACAUUUCUUAUGAGACUUCACCCUAUGAAAGACUUCCACUCUGCCUUUGUUGUAUACACUGCGUACUAAGCAAAGUGAUGGUCCAAGAGAUAGACACUCAAGGCAAAGGAUCUACAGAGGGGCUGACUAUUUUUCUUAUGAUCCACGCACACAGAAAAUGAAGAAGGAUGACACAGAAAUUUUCCCCAGGAGCCUCAAGAAAAGAUGAACACUAGUAUGUUUCUGUUUUGUGGAAAGAAGAGAAAGCUCCAGAGUAUACAGAUUGUGGCCACCAAACUAUAAAAAUUGCAAUUAUAGAGGACAAUGCCGUGUUUCCUGUAAGAAACAGCAUGAGAUUUUUCUAAAGAUUGUUGACAACUAUGAGUGGACCCUCAAGUUAUGACUGGCCUGACAUAAGGACAACUUGGGUUAAUUAUCUACCUUGUUAUCUUGUUAUCUAUAGCAUGUAUCCAGAGUCGUGGAAGAAGCAGCACAAACUACAUACUCUUAAGUGCGAGUCGGCCCUGAAGACUACUACACUAAGAAAAUGUGAGCGAAGAUUCUUUGUCCUUGGUUUUCCGCGGGAGACUGACUGAGCUACAGAUAGCUGUGACAGAUGGUGCUCUGUCCUUUAUAUCAAGGACAACAUUGCACCUCGUGGACUUGUUUUUCCCUUGUGCGGUGGCAUGUGCCCAUUAGGUUUUGCUGGGGAUGGAGCAGUGACAGUGUUCUGCUGAUCAGACAGCUGUGGGGGUGACAGGUUCUCAGGAAUAAUGGUGCUGGCACAACUGGGCACUGAAUUUGCAUCCAUGUGUGGACAUGUGCCUGGAGGCUUAGCGAGAACACCACCGUGUCUUUUGUCAGCAACUCAGUACAAUCAGAAACAAUUACAGCAUUCUGUUAUGGUUGAAUACCGGGCUGGUUUAAAAUAGUAUUCCACCUUUAACCACCUAAGUGAGACAGAUUUUUCCUUCAGAUGUGUCAAUAAGUAUGUUGAAAUAUGUCUGAACAUUUGAGAAGAGUAAAGAAGUCUUAAAUAAAAAAUCAAGAAUAAG
ensembl:lncRNA